AGGGUUCAGCAAGCAGCUCCAAGACCAUGCGCUCCGCCGGCUAAUCAUUCGAAGAUCCAUGUUGAUGCUGCAGUUCGUAGCAACAGAGGCGGGGCGGCAGCUGCAAUCUGCCGAAGCAACCAAGGAGCCUUCCUAGGCAGCUCCGCACUGGUCAUUCAAGGUGUUUGUGACCCAGCAACACUCGAAGCAAUCGCAUGCAGGGAAGCACUUGCACUGGCUCAAGAUCUUGAUCUACAUCAAUUUAUGGUCUCGUCCGAUUGCAGGCAAGUGGUCGAUGAUAUUGCUAGAGGGAACCAGGGUCCAUAUGGAGCUAUAAUUACAGAGAUCAAGAAUAGAGCAGUACCUUUUUCUUGUAAUUUCAUUUUUGAAAGUAGGUUAGUUAAUGUAGAAGCUCAUAAACUAGCAAGAUUUGAUGUUUCUCUUCCUAGGGGUCGUCAUGUGUGGCUUGGCCAGCCCCAUGACCAAGUUUGUAUCCCACUUUCUGUGGAUUUUGAGUAA
rnacentral:rRNA from 1 species